GAUGAACGCUGGCGGCGUGCUUAACACAUGCAAGUCGAACGAAGCACCUUGAUUUGCUUCUUCGGAUGAAGAUCUUGGUGACUGAGUGGCGGACGGGUGAGUAACGCGUGGGUAACCUGCCUCAUACAGGGGGAUAACAGUUAGAAAUGACUGCUAAUACCGCAUAAGACCACAGCACCGCAUGGUGCAGGGGUAAAAACUCCGGUGGUAUGAGAUGGACCCGCGUCUGAUUAGGUAGUUGGUGGGGUAACGGCCUACCAAGCCGACGAUCAGUAGCCGACCUGAGAGGGGGACCGGCCACAUUGGGACUGAGACACGGCCCAAACUCGUACGGGAAGCAGCAGUGGGGAAUAUAGCAGAAUGGGGGAAACGCUGAUGCGGCGACGCCGGGUGAGCGAUGAAGUAUUUCGGUAUGUAAAGCUCUAUCAGCAGGGAAGAAAGUGACGGUACCUGACUAAGAAGCACCGGCUAAAUACGUG
rnacentral:rRNA from 1 species